rnacentral:rRNA from 1 species
UACGAAGGGGGCUAGCGUUGCUCGGAAUCACUGGGCGUAAAGCGCACGUAGGCGGAUCCUUAAGUCGGGGGUGAAAUCCUGGAGCUCAACUCCAGAACUGCCUUCGAUACUGAGGAUCUCGAGUCCGGGAGAGGUGGGUGGAACUGCGAGUGUAGAGGUGAAAUUCGUAGAUAUUCGCAAGAACACCAGUGGCGAAGGCGGCUCACUGGCCCGGUACUGACGCUGAGGUGCGAAAGCGUGGGGAGCAAACAGG